rnacentral:rRNA from 1 species
AUUGAACGCUGGCGGCAGGCUUAACACAUGCAAGUCGAGCGAUCGGCGGACGGGUGAGUAAUGUCUGGGAAACUUCCUGAUGGUGGGGGAUAACUACUGGAAACGGUAGCUAAUACCGCAUACCAUCAGAUGUGCCCAGAUGGGAUUAGCUAGUAGGUGGGGUAAUGGCUCACCUAGGCGACGAUCCCUAGCGGGUCUGAGAGGAUGACCAGACAACUUGGAACUGAGACACGGACCAGACGCGUACGGGAGGAAGAAGUGGGAAAUAUUGCAAAAUGGGCGCAAGCCUGAUGCAGCCAUGCCGCGUGUAUGAAGAAGGCCUUCGGGUUGUAAAGUACUUUCAGCGGGGAGGCGUUACCCGAAGAAAAAGCACCGGCUAACUCCGUGCCAGCAGCCGCGGUAAUUC